rnacentral:rRNA from 1 species
GACGAACGCUGGCGGCGUGCUUAACACAUGCAAGUCGAACGGUGACGAGGAGCUUGCUCCUCCGAUCAGUGGCGAACGGGUGAGUAACACGUGAGUAACCUGCCCCAGACUCUGGGAGUAACAGUUGGAACAGCUGCUAAUACCGGAUACGAGACGGAGAGGCAUCUCUACCGUCUGGAAAGUUUUCGGUUCUGGGAGUGGACGUCGCGGCCUAUCAGCUUGUUGGUGAGGUAAUGGCUCACCAAGGCGACGACGGGUAGCCGGCCUGAGAGGGCGACCGGCCACACUGGGACUGAGACACGGCCCAGACUCCUACGGGAGGCAGCAGUGGGGAAGUAUUGCACAAUGGGCGAAAGCCUGAUGCAGCGACGCCGCGUGAGGGAUGAC